CCAAAGGCUCUUUUCAGAGCCGCCCACUCACUCGGUUAAUUAGAG
rfam:Xenopus tropicalis strain Nigerian Chr09_contig_105, whole genome shotgun sequence.